AUGUGCAUUGCUGUUCUUAUCUCUGUACUUUCUAGUUGUGCUAAUUUUAGGACAUGUUCGGUGAAUUUAGAUGUUGGGAAGUGGAUCCUGAAUGCACUUUGUGUUUGCUAUAUUCAGAUUUGUACACACAGUUUUUACUGUAAAAAAAUCUGUAGUUACGUAUGGUUUGAAUCACUACACCUGAAUCUGCAGAUUUGCACAUACAAAUCUUCAGAGAUUGGGGCAUAUCAAAUCUUGAUAUAUCCACUGUAUCUUCUUGCUGAAUCGAGUGCUCUCUUAUAUAGGUCUAUGAAUUUCCUGAACUGGUGCAUGUAUAUAUUUGGGUGCUAG
rnacentral:rRNA from 1 species